rnacentral:rRNA from 1 species
AUGCCACAAGUUAAACCUAGUAAAAAGAGUAAGAAAGAUUCUUCUUCUAGUAGUAACAAUAACCAUGCUAAAUCCAAUAUUGUUUCUUUUAAUAAUUCUCUUGAUUCCACUAAUGAUUCUCUUAGCCAAGUUACACUUGAGCAAGAAAAUAGCUUAUUGAAGAGAAUUAUAGAGAAAGGUGUUUACAAGAGUCUUGCCGGGUGUAAGCAAUUCGAAGAAAUUGUACGCAAGGAAGGAAGACACCGGAAGAAUCAAGGUGUUGGUUUUGAACGAAAGUUCAAUGCCAAUGGAUUUGAGUGGGAAGAAGAUCAAUACCCCAAGAUGAAGUUUGUUCUUCAACAAGAUAAGUAUGACCCCACUUCUUUUGAGGGACACAAGCUCAAGAUGAUCUUCCACCACAAGACCACAAGCUAA